GGAUGAAUAGCUCAACGGCAGAGCAGGUGUUUGUUAGGCACCAGGUUGAAAGUUCGAAUCUUUCUUCAUCCU
rnacentral:tRNA from 1 species